GUAAAAUGUAUCACAGGCAAUUCCUGGAAGGGGAAAUCUGAAUGACUAUUAAACAUAUGAAAGAACACUCAACAUCAGUAAUGAUCAAAAAAAUUCAAGUUAGAACUAGACAUAGUUUUCACAUCUGUCAGUUCUGCAAGAUUUAAAGUCUGAUAACUUAUUUCUUUUACCAGUGUUGAAUAUAAUGUUAAAAAUAUAACUCAUUUAAAUUGCUAUUGGGAGUGUAAAUUGUUAAAAUCACCUUGAAGAGAAAUUUGACUCUAAUCCAUUAAAGUUUUGACAAUGUGCAUACUUGGGAAUCCAAUAAUUCUGCAUUCGGAAAUCUACACUGAGAAAAACUUUUCCAUGUGACAGACAAGGGGACAAUUUUAUGAAUGUUCACUGAAGGCCUCUUAACAUUGUGAGAAGACAGAGCUUCAAGAUGCAAUGGGCCUGCUCAAGAUCGCAGAGCUACUGAGACUGCAGAACUCCACAAAUUCUCAAGUGUACUGUUCCCAAAGCCAGAGAUCUCUAGACAGUACAGUGAGCUCUCUCUCUGUACACCAAUUACCAAUAUGUAAAGUUCUGUGGUCAUUUCUCUUCACUGGCCAGGCUUAAUUAAUCUCUUACUUUUUACUUUUCUUUUUUCAAGAAAUAGAGAAAUAAUGCCUAAGUGAAAUGAUGUUUAUUGUUUCUUAUGUACAGUCUAUCAGUGACUUUUUAAAAGCAAUUUUAUGUUUCAAAUGAUUUGAUUAUCUGAUCCUAGCCUGAAUAUUUGAGUAAGACAAGAUGAAGAUAUAAACAAACGACAGCUUCUAAAAUAAACUCUAAAAUGUGA